GAAAAAAGGGCGUGAAGCCUCCACUUCUGGAAACGAAACGGGCAACGAAGGAGCUGCCUAAUCGGCGACAUAGGAGCCCGGAUGAUGCAGUAGGACAGAGGAGCCCGGCGGGGGAAGGCCGGGAGGCUCCGAGGCUGCAGGAGGGAUGAGCCCAGGGGGACCCCGGGAAAGGCGAAGGGAGGAGGAAAAGGGAGGAGACCCCGAGACGGUCCUGGAGGGCGGAGGGUCCUUCGGAAGACCCCGGAAUCCCCAAAGGAUCCAGGAGGAAGAAGAGAAAUAUCAGUGCCCGGAAUGUGGAAAAUCCUUCAAAAAUGGCGAUAAACAGGAGACCCAUCUCAGAAUCCACUCAGGAGAAAAGGGAUAUCAAUGCGGGGAAUGUGAAAAAUCCUUCAAAAGGAUGUCUUCCAGCAGAAACUGCUACAAGGGACUCUGCUAUGUCCCAUAGAUCCCUAUCGAACACUGCCGUUUGGUUUAGGGGGAGGCCUGGGUACAUUCCUCACUUUAGAAUCCUUUUCCUGCCUAUCUUGUACUUUGAAUUUCCUUCUUGGAAAUAAACGGGGGGAGGGAAUGAAUUGGGGGCCAUCUGUUACGUCUCAGCAUUAGACAUAAGACAUAAGGCAGCAACAACAACUGAAAACAACAUCACUUUCUCAGUCGGCACUUCUAAGGCCAACAAACCUUUGCGAGAUACUAGCCAUAUUCUCAGCAUAUAGGAGGAGAAGUACAUUGGGGAUUGUACAAAUUGAGGCAGGUGUAUGUAGGAGAUGGUCCUGUGCAGGUGCUCCCUAAAGAAGGUGGAGGUCAAAAUACAACCCUGGGAGACUUUUCUGAAAAGGAUGGUUAGCACAUUUCAUCCAAUUGCUGAAUGAGAAACACUCUGUACUGUAUUUUCCAAGUUCCUCAUAAUGAUUUCUCUCUAAAAUGGAAUCAAAUGUCGAUUUACCUUAUGGAUUCUGGAGUGGAAAAUCUUUUUGAUCUCCUAUUGCAGCCCCUUUGAGCAGCCGAUCUCCAAGGGGAGCAUCUGCUGAGAGGCUCUCGCCAUGUCAAAACCACUUUGAAACUUCUCUGAGAGGAUCCUGGUUUCUCUUUCAUGGUUGCGGGACACAAAUCCAAAAACUAUUUCCAAGGUGGCUUAUCAUCUUGGAGUCCUGAUAGUGAAAUGCUUGGGAUGCAACACCACCAUAUGGAAAGAUAGAGAGAGCUUUGAACAUCAGCUCACAGAUGUCCUAUAUCACCCUCCCUCCCAUAUCAUGGGGUUGUUGUUGGGGGAAGAGAUGAAGAAGAGAGCUCCAAAGACCCCUCAGUCCAACCCUGAGCUACAAAUAUUUUCCUUUCUUUUAUUGCAUAUCUUCUCCGCCUUAGUUGCAGAAAUAAUAAAGCAGGAUCCAAAUGGAUAAACAAACUCACUCUAUGUGACUCACAACUGUGUUUUUAAAUAGCAACUAAAUGGCCUCUGUUUGAUGCAGGAAAAUUCUUAUUCAUGGAUAUAGGAAUUCAGAAUUCAUGCACAAAAGAAGAUCGUCUCCAAUUAAAAGGACCUAAGGAGGAGAAUCUCCUGCCAAUGGUUCCUGCUAGUGAAUUUCCUUUCAUUCCAACACAUUAUUGUGGGAAAAAGGAAGCAGGAAAUCAUGGAAUUUUGAUUAGGAUCCAAGUUGGAUUCUUUCUGGGUUUCUUUAACUGCUGAAUCCUUCAACAUUUGGAACUUGGCCAAAAGAGGAUCAUGUGCCUUGGGGUUUCAGAAUAAUUAAGCUAUGCAGUAUUUUCUUUUGGCAGAAAUUGUUCAAGGGAGACAGGAUUCCCCUCCCCUUCCUAUUACUUUGGGAUUCACAAAAAGGGUUCUCACCUAAGCAGAAAGACUGAAAGCAGCUCACCUGGGAUGAUGGAACAAAAUAUAAAACAGGAUGAAAACACAAAGGGAAUGCAAUGGGAAGUUCAUCCAGAGCUACGUUAAUGAGUGGAGCUUCCCUUGACAGAGGCAGUCUACCUCCAACAAUCUGCCUUAUGUGCAAAAAGAUGAGGAAUGAGCAGCUUUAGUAAUUGGUUUGGUCACCUACCAGACAUUUGCCUGACAAUGGUGUGUGUAGAAAAGGUGGGGCAGGUGAGCUUUGGUAGCCACUUGUCAACUCCUUGGGAAUUCUGAUGGCUUUAUGACCUCAUCCAUACAUGUUAAAUUGUCAGUUAUCAGAGUGAAGAUGCCCUCCAAGAGGUAAUUUGGUGUCCGAAGGGGUCCUGGGCUCUGGGAAAUCUUCCUUCUAUUUAUAGCCAAUUUAUCAGAGUUGUAUUGCAAGAGCAGAAAUCCCCAUUUGGCCACUAAUUAGAGGGAAGCAGGGAGAAAAUGAGAACACCCAGUUCUUUUUCCUGUUACUUUUAAUUAUUGAUCAUUUUAAAUCAAGUCUUAAUCCCCAAACUCAGGCACCAAGUUUAGUAUAGAACUUGAUCACCUGAAUUUGAGAGACUUUGAGGGAAGCAAAGGGGCUUCUUUGUCCACCUGAAAAUACAGACCAUCAAAUAAUCCAGCAAAAGCAAAGCAAAAACAUUUAUUAAGGAUGGGGUGUCAAAUGGUACAUACAUUCAGUGUCAGUAAAGAAAUGAUGAAAGGAUAAAAUACACUGAUUGCUCGAGAAGUUUAAAUAACAAAAGAUAUGGAUUCUAAAUAACAUUCCACAAGGGACAAAUGUAUGGACCACAUUAGUCUUUCCCAGCUGGGUUGGUGUGUUUCUUGAAAGCUGCAGAUGUAUUCAAAGACACUAAGAAUACUCUGUUGUGCAGUUCCUGAAAAGGCAGUUUCUCACAUACAGAAUAAAUAGUCUUAGUCAAGAAGAAAAGACACAUCAAAAGUUGCCAUUGGGUCAUGAUUGGUGAAAUCAAAUCAGGAUGAGAGCUGGCAUAUAGACUGUAGAAUGAUAGAGAAAAAA